rnacentral:rRNA from 1 species
AGGACGAACGCUGGCGGCGUGCUUAACACAUGCAAGUCGAACGAGAUCCAUGGAGCUUGCUCCGGAAGAUCUAGUGGCGAACGGGUGCGUAACACGUGAGAAACCUGCCCCAGACUUGGGAAUAACAGUCGGAAACGACUGCUAAUACCGAAUACCUUUGAAGCGUCGCAUGGCGCACCAAAGAAAGCUUUUGCGGUUUGGGAGGGUCUCGCGGCCUAUCAGCUAGUUGGUGAGGUAACGGCUCACCAAGGCAUCGACGGGUAGCUGGUCUGAGAGGAUGAUCAGCCACACUGGGGACUGAGACACGGCCCAGACUCCGUACGGGAGGCAGCAGUGGGGAAUAUUGCACAA